AAAUUGAAGAGUUUGAUCAUGGCUCAGAUUGAACGCUGGCGGCAGGCCUAACACAUGCAAGUCGAACGGUAACAGGAAGCAGCUUGCUGCUUUGCUGACGAGUGGCGGACGGGUGAGUAAUGUCUGGGAAACUGCCUGAUGGAGGGGGAUAACUACUGGAAACGGUGGCUAAUACCGCAUAACGUCGCAAGACCAAAGAGGGGGACCUUCGGGCCUCUUGCCAUCAGAUGUGCCCAGAUGGGAUUAGCUUGUUGGUGAGGUAACGGCUCACCAAGGCGAC
rnacentral:rRNA from 2 species